rnacentral:rRNA from 1 species
CAGCCGCCGCGGGAAUACAGAGGGUGCGAGCGUUAAUCGGAUUUACUGGGCGUAAAGCGUGCGUAGGCGGCUUCUUAAGUCGGAUGUGAAAUCCCUUAGCUUAACUUAGGAAUUGCAUUCGAUACUGGGAAGCUAGAGUAUGGGAGAGGAUGGUAGAAUUCCAGGUGUAGCGGUGAAAUGCGUAGAGAUCUGGAGGAAUACCGAUGGCGAAGGCAGCCAUCUGGCCUAAUACUGACGCCGAGGUACGAAAGCAUGGGGAGCAAACAGGAUUAGAUACCCCUGUAGUCCCUGUCUCUUAUAC